UUCAGCGGCGGACGGGUGAGUAAUGCCUAGGAAUCUGCCCGAUAGUGGGGGACAACGUUUCGAAAGGAACGCUAAUACCGCAUACGUCCUACGGGAGAAAGCAGGGGACCUUCGGGCCUUGCGCUAUCGGAUGAGCCUAGGUCGGAUUAGCUAGUUGGUGGGGUAAAGGCUCACCAAGGCGACGAUCCGUAACUGGUCUGAGAGGAUGAUCAGUCACACUGGAACUGAGACACGGUCCAGACUCCUACGGGAGGCAGCAGUGGGGAAUAUUGGACAAUGGGCGAAAGCCUGAUCCAGCCAUGCCGCGUGUGUGAAGAAGGUCUUCGGAUUGUAAAGCACUUUAAGCUGGGAGGAAGGGCAGUAAGUUAAUACCUUGCUGUUUUGACGUUACCAGCAGAAUAAGCACCGGCUAACUUCGUGCCAGCAGCCGCGGUAAUACGAAGGGUGCAAGCGUUAAUCGGAAUUACUGGGCGUAAAGCGCGCGUAGGUGGUUCAGCAAGUUGGAUGUGAAAGCCCCGGGCUCAACCUGGGAACUGCAUCCAAAACUACUGGGCUAGAGUAUGGUAGAGGGUGGUGGAAUUUCCUGUGUAGCGGUGAAAUGCGUAGAUAUAGGAAGGAACACCAGUGGCGAAGGCGACCACCUGGACUAAUACUGACACUGAGGUGCGAAAGCGUGGGGAGCAAACAGGAUUAGAUACCCUGGUAGUCCACGCCGUAAACGAUGUCAACUAGUUGUUGGGUUCCUUGAGGACUUAGUAACGAAGCUAACGCGAUAAGUUGACCGCCUGGGGAGUACGGCCGCAAGGUUAAAACUCAAAUGAAUUGACGGGGGCCCGCACAAGCGGUGGAGCAUGUGGUUUUAAUUCGAAGCAACGCGAAGAACCUUACCUGG
rnacentral:rRNA from 1 species